rnacentral:rRNA from 1 species
GACGAACGCUGGCGACGUGCUUAACACAUGCAAGUCGAACGGAAAGGCCCUGCUUUUGUGGGGUGCUCGAGUGGCGAACGGGUAAGUAACACGUGAGUAACCUGCCCUUGACUUUGGGAUAACUUCAGGAAACUGGGGCUAAUACCGGAUAGGAGCUCCUGCUGCAUGGUGGGGGUUGGAAAGUUUCGGCGGUUGGGGAUGGACUCGCGGCUUAUCAGCUUGUUGGUGGGGUAGUGGCUUACCAAGGCUUUGACGGGUAGCCGGCCUGAGAGGGUGACCGGCCACAUUGGGACUGAGAUACGGCCCAGACUCCUACGGGAGGCAGCAGUGGGGAAUAUUGCACAAUGGGCGGAAGCCUGAUGCAGCAACGCCGCGUGCGGGAUGACGGCCUUCGGGUUGUAAACCGCUUUCGCCUGUGACGAAGCGUGAGUGACAGUAAUGGGUAAAGAAGCACCGGCUAACUACGUGCCAGCAGCCGCGGUGAUACGUAGGGUGCGAGCGUUGUCCGGAUUUAUUGGGCGUAAAGGGCUCGUAGGUGGUUGAUCGCGUCGGAAGUGUAAUCUUGGGGCUUAACCCUGAGCGUGCUUUCGAUACGGGUUGACUUGAGGAAGGUAGGGGAGAAUGGAAUUCCUGGUGGAGCGGUGGAAUGCGCAGAUAUCAGGAGGAACACCAGUGGCGAAGGCGGUUCUCUGGGCCUUUCCUGACGCUGAGGAGCGAAAGCGUGGGGAGCGAACAGGCUUAGAUACCCUGGUAGUCCACGCUGUAAACGGUGGGUACUAGGUGUGGGGUCCAUUCCACGGGUUCCGUGCCGUAGCUAACGCUUUAAGUACCCCGCCUGGGGAGUACGGCCGCAAGGCUAAAACUCAAAGGAAUUGACGGGGCCCCGCACAAGCGGCGGAGCAUGCGGAUUGAUUCGAUGCAACGCGUAGAACCUUACCUGGGUUUGACAUGGAUCGGGAGUGCUCAGAGAUGGGUGUGCCUCUUUUGGGGUCGGUUCACAGGUGGUGCAUGGCUGUCGUCAGCUCGUGUCGUGAGAUGUUGGGUUAAGUCCCGCAACGAGCGCAACCCUUGUUCACUGUUGCCAGCACGUUAUGGUGGGGACUCAGUGGAGACCGCCGGGGUCAACUCGGAGGAAGGUGGGGAUGACGUCAAGUCAUCAUGCCCCUUAUGUCCAGGGCUUCACGCAUGCUACAAUGGCUGGUACAGAGAGUGGCGAGCCUGUGAGGGUGAGCGAAUCUCGGAAAGCCGGUCUCAGUUCGGAUUGGGGUCUGCAACUCGACCUCAUGAAGUCGGAGUCGCUAGUAAUCGCAGAUCAGCAACGCUGCGGUGAAUACGUUCCCGGG